rnacentral:rRNA from 1 species
GACGAACCGUGCAAACGUUAUUCGGAAUCACUGGGCUUAAAGCGCGUGUAGGCGGAUGGGAACGUCGGACGCUGAAAGCCCCCGGCUCAACCGGGGAAGGGGCGCCGAAACGACCCGUCUCGAGGCACGUAGGGGGACCUGGAACUUCCGGUGGAGCGGUGAAAUGCGUUGAGAUCGGAAGGAACGCCCGUGGCGAAAGCGAGGUCCUGGACGUGUACUGACGCUGAGACGCGAAAGCUAGGGGA